rnacentral:rRNA from 1 species
GUCUAUUUGAAGUUUUAAAAAGUCUGGCCUGCCCGCUGAUAAAAAAUUUUUAAGGGCCGCGGUAUUAUGACCGUGCUAAGGUAGCAUAAUCAUUAGGUUUUUAAAUGAGAUCUUGUAUGAAUGGUUGAACAAAGGAAGAGCUGUCUUAAAUAUAAAGUUUGAAUUUUACUUUUAGGUGAGAAGGCCUAAAUAAUUUAAGGGGACGAUAAGACCCUAUAAAACUUUACAUUAAAUUUAUAUUUAGUUAAAUUUUAAAGUAAUAAAAACUUUAAAUGGAAAGUUGUUGUGUUGGGGCGAUAAAGGUAGAAGUUAUAAUAGCUGCUUAAGAAAAAAACAUUUUAAGUGAAGUGUUAAAAGAUCUUAGUUAAAAAUUUUAAGAUUAAGUUACUUUAGGGAUAACAGUGUAAUUUUUUUUGAGAGUUCAUAUCGAAAAAAAAGUUUACAACCUCGAUGUUGAAUUAAAAUAUCUAUAUAAUGAAGCUGUUAUACUAGAGGGUCUGUUCGACCUUUAAUUUUUUACAUGAUUUGAGUUCAAAUCGGCGUGAG